rnacentral:rRNA from 1 species
CAGCAAUGCCGCGUGUGUGAAGAAGGCCUUCGGGUUGUAAAGCACUUUUAUCGGGAGCGAAAUACCAUGGGUUAAUAACCGGUGGGGCUGACGGUACCCGAGGAAUAAGCACCGGCUAACUUCGUGCCAGCAGCCGCGGUAAUACGAAGGGUGCAAGCGUUAAUCGGAAUUACUGGGCGUAAAGGGUGCGUAGGCGGUUUGUUAAGUCUGUCGUGAAAUCCCCGGGCUCAACCUGGGAAUGGCGAUGGAAACUGGCAGGCUAGAGUGUGUCAGAGGAUGGUGGAAUUCCCGGUGUAGCGGUGAAAUGCGUAGAGAUCGGGAGGAACAUCAGUGGCGAAGGCGGCCAUCUGGGACAACACUGACGCUGAAGCACGAAAGCGUGGGGAGCAAACAGGAUUAGAUACCCUGGUAA